rnacentral:rRNA from 1 species
UACGUAGGGUGCGAGCGUUGUCCGGAAUUAUUGGGCGUAAAGAGCUUGUAGGCGGUUUGUCGCGUCUGCCGUGAAAAUCCGGGGCUCAACCCCGGACUUGCGGUGGGUACGGGCAGACUAGAGUGUGGUAGGGGAGACUGGAAUUCCUGGUGUAGCGGUGAAAUGCGCAGAUAUCAGGAGGAACACCGAUGGCGAAGGCAGGUCUCUGGGCCGAAAUUGACGCUGAGGAGCGAAAGCGUGGGGAGCAAACAGG